GAACUAUGUUGCUUGAGUAUAGGAGGGGGAGCUGGAAUUCCAGGUGUAGGGGUGAAAUCUGUAGAUAUCUGGAAGAACACCUGAGGCGAAGGCGAGCUCCUGACCAUAUACUGACGCUGAGGCGCGAAAACAUGGGGAGCGAACAUGAUUAUAUACCCUGGUAGUCCUCGCUGUAAACGUUGUGCACUAGGUGUCGGACUUACGGGUUCGGUACAAGAGUUAACGCGAUAAGUGCACCGCCUGGGGAGUAUGCUUGCAAGGAUUAAACUCAAAGGAAUUGACGGGGGCCCGCACAAGCGUUUGAGCAUGUGGUUUAAUUCGAUCAUACGCGAGAAACCUUACCAGGGUUUGACAUAUAGCAGACGGUCGUAGAGAUUCUGCUUUCCUUCGGGGCUGUUAUACAGGUGCUGCAUGGCUGUCGUCAGCUCGUGCUGUGAAGUGUUGGGUUAAGUCCCGCAACGAGCGCAACCCCUACUGUCUGUUACCAUCAUUGAGUGGGGGACUCAGACGGUACUGCCUUUGACAAACCGGAGGAGGGUGGGGAUGACGUCAAGUCAUCAUGCCCUUUAUGUCGGGGGCUACACA
rnacentral:rRNA from 1 species